CCAAGGCACCUCGGGAGAGCUCGACCCGCGUCAGGGUAUUAUCAGCUUGGAGAAGGCACAAAAAUCGCUGGAAAGCCUUUAAAGUAAAACCAGGCUUUUCCGGGCUGAAAUCCAGCCCGCGCCCAAGGCCAGCUCGCAGGAGGGGAAGUUGGGGAGGGCAGCAGCGACCAGCGCCGGGGCUCCUCGGCUGCCCCGAGGAGGGAAGCGAGGGGAGGCUCCGGCCGCCGCCUUUGNNNNNNNNNNNNNNNNNNNNNNNNNNNNNNNNNNNNNNNNNNNNNNNNNNCUGCAGGGCUCCUGAGCGCCGGGGGGGGGCCGGGUGCUGAGCCCCUUCCCAUUGCAGGAUCACGCCUUCCGCUUGCUGCAGCCCGGGGGGGUCCUCACCUACUGCAACCUGACCUCCUGGGGGGAGCUGCUGAAGACCAAGUACACCGACAUCGAGCAGAUGUUUGAGGAGACCCAGGUGGGGCAGCUGGUGGAGGCCGGGUUCAAGGAGGAGAACAUCAGCACAACGGUGAUGGAGCUGGUCGCCCCCCGGGACUGCCGGUACUACUCCUUCCCCAAGAUGAUCACACCCACCAUCGUCAAGCACUGAGGGUGCCCGGCUGCGCCGUCCCUUGGCGGGGGGGGGCUGAUCACACACCCCGCGAGGAGCAGGAGAGCUCUGCUCUCCUCCAGUGCGAACGAGAGAAGGUUGAAGCUGAUUUGUCUGGAGGGGAUGGGGGUUCUGGCUCUCCACGGGACCUCCUGGACACGAGGGCUCGAGUCCUGGCCCCACUCUGGGUGUCACGGCCUGAUGCAGCCCCCGCCCCCAGGGCUCUGCUCCAGACUCGCCCUCAUCUCAGUGAAGCUGCAAUCCAAGAGCAUCUUCAGGGCCUUUAGUCAAAGGGGUUCAAGGAUGAGCCGUUUCCUCUAAAAACUGGAUCAUUUUUGGCAAUCAUAGCGAGGGGAUUUCCCUGCAUGAGCCAAAUAAUCUAAACCAGGCAGGAGAAGCGGGGGAGGAUGGGGCAGCUGGGGGCAUUUUGGCUGCUCCUGGAUCAACCCCCCAGCAAGGUUUCCCUGAUACCUCUGGCUAAAGCCCAUCGUAGCAAGUUCAGACCCCGACGCCCUCCAUGCAGCUCGACAGCACGUAAAUGACGCUUCCUCUCUCUACCCAGAAGGGAUAAAAUCCAUUAAAAAUGAAUGAAACACACAGCGG
rnacentral:lncRNA from 1 species